rnacentral:rRNA from 1 species
AACGCGAAGAACCUUACCUGGGUUUGACAUGCAUCUCUCAGUCGGUGAAAGCCGGCGAGUCCCGCAAGGGACAAUUUGCACAGGUGCUGCAUGGCUGUCGUCAGCUCGUGUCGUGAGAUGUUGGGUUAAGUCCCGCAACGAGCGCAACCCUCGCCCUUAGUUGCCAUCAUUCAGUUGGGCACUCUAAGGGGACUGCCGGUGAUAAGCCGCGAGGAAGGUGGGGAUGACGUCAAGUCCUCAUGGCCCUUACAGGCUGGGCUACACACGUGCUACAAUGGCGGUGACAAUGGGAUGGCAAUGGCGCGAGCCUGCGCAAAUCUCAAAAAGCCGUCUCAGUUCGGAUUGCACUCUGCAACUCGAGUGCAUGAAGUUGGAAUCGCUAGUAAUCGCGGAUCAGCACGCCGCGGUGAAUACGUUCCCGGGCCUUGUACACACCGAGUAUA